rnacentral:lncRNA from 1 species
AAAAUCCAUGUUGUGUCAAUUAGCUCCAUUCUUCAAACCUGGAAGGAAAUGUUCGAGUUCCGUAGAAAAACCCUGAAGGGCUGUUGAUCCAAACGCCAGCGUAUGUGAGCCCCUCGGGCAUACAAUUUCUGCUGGAAAACCGUAGACUGGGCCAAAAUGAGAAAGCUAGGCCCCGAGAAGUGGAGUCAUGUGCCCAUUUCAAACAGCUGUAUGAUGGCAGAAGCAGAAGAGAAGCCAAAUGUCCCAGUUCUGGACCUGGCCCACUUUCAGCUCCGCCCACGCCGCCUUCUGGGGCAGGGAGGCGUGUGGGACCUGCCCAGCUCGUCACACAGGCCUGCCAUCUAGAGGAUUAAACCUUUGGAUGAUGCCUCGGGAGUAUUCCUUCAAAGACAGUUCUCUCUAAAGGGGUGCGUCAAAGAAGGCUAGUAGGAAGAGGGGGCUGUAUCAGGGAGGUGCUUCCAACUGCCAGCAGCACAGACUCUGACUCCUACUGGCUGAAGGAAAAAGGGGGUUUGGUUGAAAGUGCGGCAGUAGGGCCACCUUCCAAGGACACUUGUUCCCCGCAGCUAAAUCAAACCACCGAGGACCCAGUCCCCUUGCUCUGCCUUUGGCAUCGUCCUCCUCCUGCUCUCUCUCCCCGGGGCCUUAACUCAGAAACCCUCAGGACAGGACGGAUGCUUCCCUUCCCUGGACCUCAGACCCCUGACCUGUCCAUUGAUGGGCCUGGUCACUGAAUGAGCUCUCAGUGACCUUCCACCUCUAACAGGUUUCCCCAAAAGGUGGACCAUAGUCCAUUUGCAUUAGAAGGUCGUUAGAAUGUUUGUGAAACCACACAAUUCCUACACCCAGGCCCAACCCCACUGAAGUCAAAAUCUCGGAGCAGCAUGGGAAUCUGGUUUCAGCAAACUCGCCAAGAAUAUCCUCGUGCCCCCUGAAGUUUGAUAAACAUUUGUUCAGAAGGCAAGAGAGCCUAGAACAGGGAGCAAACCCUGGCUGGUGGGCC